rnacentral:rRNA from 1 species
GUGUCAGCCGCCGCGGUAAUACAUGUGGGGCAAGCGUUGUUCGGAAUUACUGGGCAUAAAGGGUGCGUAGGCGGCUUGUUAAGUCAGGGGUGAAAGUUUUCGGCCCAACCGGAAAAUUGCCUUUGAUACUGGCGAGCUGGAGUGCGUGAGGGGUGACCGGAACGAGUGGUGUAGCGGUGAAAUGCGUAGAUAUCACUCGGAAGGCCAACGGCGAAGGCAGGUCACUGGUGCGAAACUGACGCUGAGGCACGAAAGCGUGGGGAGCAAACAGGAUUAGAUACCCCAGUAGUCC